GAGGGUGACCGUGGCUCGCGCAGGCCCAGAAGGUCAGCCACUGGACUGGGUGUUGCCCACAGGCACUUUGAAGUGAAAGGGGAGUGUCUCAUAGGGAAAGAUUUCACUUCGUCUGGAAAGGAAAGAUUGAUCGAUCAGGUUCAGAAUAAAGCACGUUUGAUCUGUAGUUGUGUUUAAUGUUCCAAACAGGACAUUCACAUACUCCGCUAAUGUAUCCGUGCUCUGAGAUGUGGAGAUGCGACCUGUGCACCUCGUCCUGGGAGGCUCCUCGAAAACCGGCAGUGUUCUCCCAGGUUCUCAGGUGAGUGCUUGAUUCAGGUCGCCUGCACUUUUCCCAGACCUGGGCUACGCUUCAGCCGGUUGGAAUGCGACUGGAGCUGUAACAUGUCCUUGCAGGCUGUGAUCUAGAAAGCACCCCGACAAACAAAAGACCUAAGGGAUCAGCUCUGAUAGUAAGAAUCGCUCCUGCUCAGAUGGACAAGAACAAGCAGAUGAACA